ACGGAAGGCAGCAGUAGGGAAUCUUCGGCAAUGGGGGCAACCCUGACCGAGCAACGCCGCGUGAGUGAAGAAGGUUUUCGGAUCGUAAAGCUCUGUUGUAAGAGAAGAACGUGUGUGAGAGUGGAAAGUUCACACAGUGACGGUAACUUACCAGAAAGGGACGGCUAACUACGUGCCAGCAGCCGCGGUAAUACGUAGGUCCCGAGCGUUGUUCGGAUUUAUUGGGCGUAAAGCGAGCGCAGGCGGUUUAAUAAGUCUGAAGUUAAAGGCAGUGGCUUAAACAUUGUUUGCUUUGGAAACUAUUAGACUUGAGUGCAGAAGGGGAGAGUGGAAUUCAAUGUGUAGCGGUGAAAUGCGUAGAUAUAUGGAGGAACACCGGAGGCGAAAGCGGCUCUCUGGUCUGUAACUGACACUGAGGCUUGAAAGAGUGGGGAGCAAACAGGAUUAGAUACCCUGGUA
rnacentral:rRNA from 1 species